UAGGCCCCCCAGCCAGACUGAGCUCGCACGUAAGUUUCGCCCGUUUCCGCGAGCCUGCAUCCGCGCGAGUGCCCAUGCCUGCACCCACGCGAGCGAAGAGGGCUAGGGCUUCUCUCCCUCUCGUUCACACCCAUAUCCGCGCCGCACUCCUCACCCCUCUCCUCUCUACUGCGAACGGAUCUCGCCGCCCCGUCGCCUCGCGAGCACAUCGCCGACGCGCAUCCUCUCCGCGCAGAGGAGUGAUGGUUGAGAUGGCGGCUGAUGGUGGGCAUGGCGGUGGGAAUCACCCAUUGCGCUGGACAUCUCCAAUGUCUGGGUUCAUGUUACGUCGCUUUGUAGAGCUCAUGGCUAGUGGAGUGAAGACGGAAAAGGGCUUUAAAGGAUGGAGUGCCCAUGCCCAAGGAUGGACUGCCAAAGGAUGGAGUGCCCGUGACCAGCGAUGAAGUGCCCAAGGGUGGAGUGUGAGCAAAUAUGUGCUAAUUCAACGAAGCUGACCAUAUUUUAUUGUAUUUGGUCAGAAAAACCAUGCCCCUAUAUAUGUGAAGGAAUGUAAUAUGGACCUUAUGUUAUGUUCCUUUGUUGGACUGUAAUGCACCCAAUAUGAAUUUAUGGCUAUCUAAUAUGUGAACUCUAGGAUGUGCUGGACUGUAAUAUGGAUCAUACGAAUUUGUGGCUCUAUAAUAUGUGGACUCUUAAGAUGUACUUGCACUGGA